AUUGAACGCUGGCGGCAGGCCUAACACAUGCAAGUCGAACGAGUGGCGGACGGGUGAGUAAUGUCUGGGAAACUGCCCGAUGGAGGGGGUAAAUAAUUGAAACGGGAGCGAAUACCCCAUACCAUCGGAUGUGACCAAAUGGGGUUAGCUAGUAGGUGGGGUAACGGCUCACCUAGGCGACGAUCCCUAGCUGGUCUGAGAGGAUGAACGGCCACACUGGAACUGAGACACGGUCCAGACUCCUACGGGAGGCAGCAGUGGGGAAUAUUGCGCAAUGGGCGCAAGCCUGAUACAGCCAUGCCGCGUGGAUGAAGAAGGCCUUCGGGUUGUAAAGUACUUUCAGCGGGGAGGCGUUACUCGCAGAAGAAGCACCGGCUAACUCCGUGCCAGCAGCCGCGGUAAUUC
rnacentral:rRNA from 1 species